UACGAAGGGGGCUAGCGUUGCUCGGAUUUACUGGGCGUACAGGGAGCGUAGGCGGUUGGAUAAGCCCUCCGUGAAAUCUCCAGGCUUAACCUGGAAAGUGCAGAGGGGACUGUUCAGCUAGAGGAUGGGAGAGGAGCGCGGAAUUCCCGGUGUAGCGGUGAAAUGCGUAGAGAUCGGGAGGAAGGCCGGUGGCGAAGGCGGCGCUCUGGAACAUUUCUGACGCUGAGGCUCGAAAGCGUGGGGAGCAAACAGG
rnacentral:rRNA from 1 species